ensembl:lncRNA
ACACACACACACACACACACACACUGACGUUCACACUUCCCCUAGUAACACAGUGCACCUUAUGUCCACCCAUGCCACAAUACACACACAGCCCUGCCCUCCCCCCCAUCUACCAAUACACCAAUCACAGCACGGCAUUGGUUUUAGGUAACCUUAGAGACAGCCAAUGGGUGAGCUGUGAGAGAAAAACAGGAGGGCAGACAGAGAGCACGGGAAAGAGAGAGAGAGAAAUACAAACCGAAUGGACCAAUAAACCAAAAAAGCUAUAAUAAAAGAAGCAAAUGAAUGAAAUAUGCUUCUUGUUGGGAGAGAGGAAAGGAGAGCGGGGAAAGAAAGAUGGGGAAUGAGUAUGGGAGGAGGAGGUGUGCACAUGGCAGCAUGUAGCCGCCGCCGGUGUUACACAACCACGUUAAGUAAACCAAUCAUAAAACCGCCACAGCAUUUACCGGCACGACCCGUUCUACUCUUCUCUGGUUUUUCCCCCCACACCUCAAUCCUUCACUGUUGGUUCAGCAUGCAUCGGGAUUAUUCUGGUUCAUUCCUUUGUUUACAGGAUAGAUUCAGCCCAACAAGAAGUGAGUGCUGGUCUGCAGGCAAAGACAUGCCGUUCGAGCCUGCAGUCUUCCCUCCACCAACCCCAAACUGACCACCCCGCUCUGAGGCUGCGACGAAGAUGACAGGCGGUCAAGACUGACCUCUGAGGAGCUCACCGGCACUCAGUUCCUCCGCCUCUUCCGCCUCUUCCUCCUCCGCCGUUCGGAGAAAGUUAGAGACGCUCUGAUGAGGGGACGGGAGAGCUGGCGUCGGUCAGGAGGCCGGGCGUCGUCGACGGCCCAGGUGGCUCGUUAACACCGGAGAUCACCACCUGGGGAAACCUGUGAACACACACACCGCCAGACCACCGGCUGGCGUCCCCUCUCUCUCCCGCGAGGGGAUGGGGCCCUAGAUGGUGGUUCACCUGGACGAAGGUCACACAGACACACCUGGUCCCGUCUGACGGGGACAGCCCGGCAGUAUCACUGCCAGAGCCACGGGUUCGAUUCCCACCCAGGACGAAGAAAUGUAUACACUCACAUUAUGUGAGUUGGAUCAAAAGCCUUUGUUUUUAUUGUGUUUAUAUAUUUAUGCACAGGCUGACGUUCAAAGCACCACAUGAUAAAACUUUCGAACCCAUAAAGUCCUAAAAUGGCGAAUGUUGACUGUUAUGCUGUUGGUGUUAACUGCUGUAACAAAAGUGCCUUAUCUAAUCUUACUUUGACGGAUAACAAUGAUG